AAGAUGCCAGCGGCAUCUCUCCUUCAUGAGCUGCUCCAAGAGAGAGAGAUGGGAGCAGGUGACAGGAACACACCGCCAGGUGCCGCAGCAGCCGCUGAAUGAGGCGAGGCAGCUCGGACUUCAGUCUCAGUAAACAAGACCUCGUUAUUGCAAUUAUUUUACAGCCAAAUUGACUGAAAUAGGAAAAAGUGACUCACCCUAGGGGACCUGUCAGGUCAAGUCCGAAUCUGAGAAAUGCAUCUCACUUUUUUGCCUGGUUCCUUAACCAGCUCCCGGGGAGACGGGUCAUCUCUCCUUCCAACGCCUUUUGGUUUUUGUAAGAGCGGUAGAAGGAAGUGGAGGUGGCUCUGUGUCUGGGUGCAGGGAACGUCUCUGAAUAUUUCCAUAAUUAUGUUUGUAUUACCCAAUAUUUCACACGUUGGACAGAAAAAUGUUAUUCCAAGGUCAGACUUGACAAUUUGAACUGUGUGAAUUAAAAGAAAUUUUUAAAGUGUCUUGGAUCACUGUUCAACAUGGGUUUCCCCUCACUCAACAAUCAUUUUUUU